rnacentral:tRNA from 1 species
GGAAAAGUGACCGAGUGGUUUAAGGUACGGACCUGGAAUGUCCGCGUAGUUCUAAUAACUACCGAGGGUUCGAAUCCCUCCUUUUCCG